rnacentral:rRNA from 1 species
UGGGGAAUAUUGGACAAUGGGGGAAACCCUGAUCCAGCGAUGCCGCGUGAGUGAAGAAGGCCUUCGGGUUGUAAAGCUCUUUUACCGGGGAAGAUAAUGACGGUACCCGGGGAAUAAGCUCCGGCUAACUUCGUGCCAGCAGCCGCGGUAAUACGAAGGGAGCUAGCGUUGUUCGGAAUUACUGGGCGUAAAGGGCGCGUAGGCUGCUUGAUAAGUCAGAUGUGAAAGCCCUGGGCUCAACCUAGGAACUGCAUAUGAUACUGUCAGGCUUGAGUACAAGAGAGGAGAGUGGAAUUACGAGUGUAGAAGUGAAAUUCGUAGAUAUUCGUAGGAACACCGGUGGCGAAGGCGACUCUCUGGCUUGAUACUGACGCUAAAGCGCGAAAGCGUGGGGAGCAAA